rnacentral:tRNA from 2 species
GCCAGUUUAGCUCAGUUGGUAGAGCACCGCUCUCGUAAAGCGGGGGUCAUCAGUUCGAGUCUGAUAACUGGCUCCA